CCAGACUCCUACGGGAGGCAGCAGUGGGGAAUCUUGCACAAUGGGCGAAAGCCUGAUGCAGCGACGCCGCGUGGGCGAAGAAGGCCUUUGGGCCGUAAAGCCCUGUCGGGAGGGAAGAAGGAAGCGACGGUACCUCCCAAGGAAGCCCCGGCUAACUACGUGCCAGCAGCCGCGGUAACACGUAGGGGGCAAGCGUUAUCCGGAUUUACUGGGUGUAAAGGGAGCGUAGACGGCGAAGAAAGUCUGAAGUGAAAGCCCGCGGCUUAACCGCGGAACUGCUUUGGAAACUUUUUUGCUGGAGUACCGGAGAGGUAAGCGGAAUUCCUAGUGUAGCGGUGAAAUGCGUAGAUAUUAGGAGGAAUACCAGUGGCGAAGGCGGCUUACUGGACGGUAACUGACGUUGAGGCUCGAAAGCGUGGGGAGCAAACAGGAUUAGAUACCCCAGUA
rnacentral:rRNA from 1 species